rnacentral:rRNA from 1 species
AGAGUUGAUUAGGCUCAGGAUGAACGCUAGCGACAGGCUUAACACAUGCAAGUCGAGGGGCAGCAUAAAAGUAGCAAUACUUGGUGGCGACCGGCGCACGGGUGAGUAACGCGUAUGCAACCUACCUAUCAGAGGGGAAUAACCCGGCGAAAGUCGGACUAAUACCGCAUAAAACAGGGGCACCGCAUGGUGAUAUUUGUUAAAGAAAUUCGCUGAUAGAUGGGCAUGCGUUCCAUUAGGUAGUUGGUGAGGUAACGGCUCACCAAGCCGACGAUGGAUAGGGGAACUGAGAGGUUGGUCCCCCACACUGGUACUGAGACACGGACCAGACUCCUACGGGAGGCAGCAGUGAGGAAUAUUGGUCAAUGGGCGAGAGCCUGAACCAGCCAAGUCGCGUGAAGGAAGAAGGAUCUAUGGUUCGUAAACUUCUUUUGCAGGGGAAUAAAGUGCAGGACGUGUCCUGUUUUGUAUGUACCCUGAGAAUAAGGAUCGGCUAACUCCGUGCCAGCAGCGGC